UGUUGCCUCCGGGGCGACCCUGCCUUCGGGCGGGGGCUCCGGGUGGACACUUCAAACUCUUGCGUAACUUUGCAGUCUGAGUAAACUUAAUUAAUAAAUUAAAACUUUUAACAACGGAUCUCUUGGUUCUGGCAUCGAUGAAGAACGCAGCGAAAUGCGAUAAGUAAUGUGAAUUGCAGAAUUCAGUGAAUCAUCGAAUCUUUGAACGCACAUUGCGCCCCCUGGUAUUCCGGGGGGCAUGCCUGUUCGAGCGUCAUUUCACCACUCAAGCCUCGCUUGGUAUUGGGCAACGCGGUCCGCCGCGUGCCUCAAAUCGACCGGCUGGGUCUUCUGUCCCCUAAGCGUUGUGGAAACUAUUCGCUAAAGGGUGUUCGGGAGGCUACGCCGUAAAACAACCCCAUUUCUAAGGUUGACCUCGGAUCAGGUAGGGAUACCCGCUGAACUUAAGCAUAUCAAUA
rnacentral:rRNA from 1 species